CCUUUAAUGAUUUGUGUAGAGGUCAUGGCUCUCUAACCUUUAAUGAUUUGUGUAGAGGUCAUGGCUCUCUAACCUUUAAUGAUUUGUGUAGAGGUCAUGGCUCUCUAACUUUUAAUGAUUUGUGUAGAGGUCAUGGCUCUCUAACUUUUAAUGAUUUGUGUAGAGGUCAUGGUUAUCGCUCUUGAAGGCUACUGUUUUAAACUGUUUACAAACAAAAUGUUCAGAUGAAGGUAAAACACGAUAGAAUAUAAAGACAACUCCAUGCCAUGUGAUUUAGAACAUCAACAGUGUUACACUCAUGUAUGAUAGAGUUCUUGAAGGUGAAUCUUUCUUCAAAGUUGCUGUUUGAGCCCGAGCUGGUACAAAUAUGAUGUUGAAUUCAAGCUAGAAGUAUCCCCAGUUCAUCUAGUGCUACAUUACACUUGAUAUCCAUCACAGCUAAAUAUCUAGACUGUUAAGUUGGGGGAGUUGUCUACAUCGCUGAGGUCAACUUUCAUGUCUAAAGGCCAAAGAGGUCACCAAUUAUACCUAAUAUAAGCAUAACUGUCCUGAGUCAUUCAGUCAUCUUUUGGUUUGCUGGAGUUCCUAUUUUUAUUGAUAGUUUGUGUUUCUUCUUACAUAUUACAUCUGUGUUUUGAAGUAGAUGAAUUACUAAGUUAACUUUAUUAAAUAGGGUGAUUAAGUCAUUCUUGAUUCUCCACUGUUGGCACAAUACAAUUUUAAAAACAAAUAUUUGAUGUGUAUGGUGAUAAACAAAUAUUUGAUGUGUAUGGUUGAUGUGCAUGGUGAUAAACAAAUAUUUAGGGAAUUGUUUGCUACUACAUUUCUUUAGAUCUUAUUCCUUCUUCAAAAUCAACUUCUUCUUCAGAGUCCUUUUUGAUAAAACCUAAUUUGGACUUUCAAACAAUUUCAUGAAAUAUAAGGGCAUGUCAGAUUUGAAAUAAAACAAUUAUAUAUAUCUCUAUUUCAUAAAACUUUGCCAAGAACAGCUUUCCCCAUUGUACUGACUACCUCCGAAAAAACCCUGAACAACCUGUAAAAAACAAAAACAAACAUUUCAACAAUCUGUAGCUUUUGACAGCGCAUAGCACCCCACUGGGGCCAAUUCUCUAAUUUUACCCCCAAUUUACCCGAACAGCAUGCCAAAAAAAUGUGACAGCUAUCUAAAUUUUCAUAUGUUCGAGUAAAAGUGACAAACUUACAUAAAAAAAAACCCAGAUAUUAUAUGUUACAGCUAAUUUGAAAAUAUGGUAAUAUUUAGCGCCCCACAACCCACCUUCGGUUACAUCUCCACAAACACCCAAAAUCAACAUCCUAGACCACCCACAACUACAGUCUGGAAUACAUACGCAACAAACCAUGUUUCAGGAUUCGGAAUUAACAAACGUAGCGCUCAUCAUUGAGAUAUACAGACACAUCAUAAGGAAAGAAAUUAAUUUAUUCCCUAGACAAGUUGAGUAAUCAUGACCUAUGUUGUAACGCCGACAUUUGAUGGAGGGCUGCCAUCAAAAAAUAAAUGAAAGCUUGAUGAAGGAAUUAUGUUUUCACACGUCAGAUAAUGUAGAAUACGUACGGACGAUGCUGAUGCAGUAAUUACAAAUCCGAGUUCUUGAGUCAUUCUGUGUAAUUUUUCUGGCUUGCAGAGUUCCCUAUUUAUUUUGCCUUAAUACAAAAAGGCCCCGAUUUAACUGGUGUGGAGAAUUACCUUCUCAAGCAAUGGUUUCCUUCGUUUUCUUAGAGCUUCAUCCAACAAAUUUAAACACAGAACUACUUUGACAAGAAAACUGAAGAGUGAUCACAAUUAUUAACCAAAUUCCUGAAAAAUCUGCUUCAAAACAAUUUGUAAAUUCAAAAGGAAAAACGUAUUUACUAAGAUUGAUUUUAAUCAAACUAAAAAUGAAAUGAUAGAUGGGCCAUGUUUUUUUUUUUUUUUUUUUUUUAUAUCAAACUGAUAUCUGACAGGUUCCAUGUUUUAAUGUUAUGCCAUAUUCACCAAUAUCAAAAUAUUU